GGCAUCUUCAGCAAAGGCAUCAAAUAGAACACACUGUUCCAGAAAUGGUCGCACCAAGUGCCAGGAAGGCGGUAACUUAGGCCGGUAUUGGCUCACAACUCUGAAUUCUAUUGUAAGUAACAAAUCUUCUGUGGGGGCAGUUUUAAUUUUGAUUGAGGGUCCUGUUUGUGAAACUUCAGUAUGGAACUCUUGCAGUCCGCAAACACAGCGUACAUUUCUGUACCUGG